UUACUUAAAAACUGAUAACAUGGCAUCUCGGCUCUCUCUAAAUAAUUGUAUUAAAGCUUUUUUAUUUAGUUAAUUUGCCGUGUCACAAACGAGCAAUGACAGUACGACUGUACGAGUUUGACUGUACGAGUGUGAGUGCACGACAUGUCGAUAUACCACCGGGCACCGCGACUUACAAAGUUACAAACCUUAAAAUAUAUAGGAUGUAGGCACUCGUCCUAUGGAAAAUCUCCACUAAUCCACUAUCACUACGAUCUAAAAUCCAACUAAUUUAAGUUUUAGAUGACCGUAAAAUUGAACCAGAAGUUGGGAUUGUUAGAAGCUGAAUAAUAAAACAAAUUUCUGUUCUACACACAUCAAACCCAACAUUUAUGAAGAUUCAAGAAAAAUAAUCAAUUUAAUUUUGAACAAAACAAAUGGUGGUGCUAAUAAAUAUGGAAAAUUCACAAAUUAUUAGUAUAUCAGAUGUGAUGAACAGUAUUCAUCACUUAGGCCAUGUUCUUAUGAAUGUUUCUAGAAAUAAUAAGUCAGAUAUACAGAAAGGGAUGGAUAUUAUUAAAGUUGAUGUCAAUAUAAAUCAAGAAACACUAAUGGAAACAGUAGAUACAAUUAGAAUUCAACAAUCAACAACCACAAGUUCAAAUGCAUAUGAUUUGUCAGUUGUCAUUACUCAAAGUGCCCAUUGAAAAUUUGGAGGAGUUGAAUAAACUCAAGGAGGAUGCGAAUAAAAAAAAAAUAUUAGUUGUGUCAUUAUUUAUUUAUUUAAGAAAAUGUAUGUUAAUGGGUGUCUACUUUUUUUGUAUAGGGUAAAUGUUACGUAGACACGAAAAUCAUUUAAUGCUAAAAGUGAUACGGACCUUAUGAUGAAGUUGACUGUAAAUAAUAGAAUAGCAGGAAAAAUCAAUAUGGAGGGAAGAAGAGGAGAUAAAUUGGCUUUUGGCCGUUUAGAAAUUUCUAAAAUUUUAAUUGAAGCCAUUCAAGACAUGUUUCCCGAUGAAUCCAUAUUAUCAAUUAAAAGUUAUAUCAGUGAUUGGCUUAAACAAGCCCCUAAAAUAAAAUUAGAUUUAUAUAUAAUUUUACAAUUAAGUUAUUUAAUAUAGUACAUUUGAUAUUGUAACAGUA
rnacentral:lncRNA from 1 species